GUUGAUCAAAAUUGAUCCAACGGCUGAGAUCAAAUUUCAAUUUCUUUCCUUUUGUACACCAAACUUCAACCCAAAUCACAUCUUUCCUCCCUCACAGUCGUAACCCCCACUCCUUUUCCCUCUCUUCUAUCUAAAAUAAAACCACGUUGUCGCCUUCCACCGGAAAAGCAGGCAACUGCCGCCGACGCUCCAUGCUCUUUUCCCCGACGCCACCAGCCAGUCACCGCAUCACGCAUACCACCAGCCGCAACCACCUCCAUCCCCCACCCCAUUUUUUUGGCCGACGAAAAAUAGGCUGGCCAACCAGUCAAACCAGUAGCUGCUGUAUCUACCGUCGGCAAACCAGAUAUUGGCUCCCCUCUUCGUAAUAUGCAGUCGCCGGUGCUAUUCCCCCACGCAUCCGUAUGACACUACCGUCUCGCCGUCAGUGGCCCGUCUUGCCUGAAAGUGAUAGGUUCUCAAAAACCCAUCCGCAGGUUUGACCAAGUGUUGAAUAAGUUUAAUUUCAGUUAUCUUCUACCUCUUUUAAUCCUUUCUUUGACAGACUUUAGACUUGAAAUUAAUGAAGUUUGAGUGUGUUUUGUUCGAUUCUUUGUCAUUUGCAUUUAUUUAUAUGAUUAGACUAUUAUAUGGUAAAAGCCCUAAUUUGUAUUAAAUUGGGGCUAACCCUAAUUUCAUAAUUGGAGAUUGACUCAUUCAAAUUUAGAAAUUUGUAGUCAUGUUCAUUAAUUUAAUCCUGUGACUUGGAAUUUGGGUGAUUUUGUAUGACAUUGACAAUCUGGAAAAAUAAUUUGCUCCUAUCUCUUUUUUUGCUUGGCGAAUUUGGUGCUUAGUAAAUUGAGAGUAUUGAAUUCGGUCUGUUUGUUUAAUUGAGUUGUGAAAAGAUGUAACGACUUGACUAUUUGACAUUGUACUCAAAUUUUGAUUCAUUUUGAUUGGCUAGAUAUAUUUUAAUUUCUUUCCAUAUAUAAUACCGUUGUUUUAUCAAUGUAAAUGAAUUUAAAAGAAAGAUUUUCUGUUACUCGCUUGUAUUUUGAUUUGAACUGAUUUUAGUUACUUAUUUAUGGCAACCAUGGCACGAUUGAUUAUAGUAGUUGAUUUACCUUUUUCGUUUAAGGAAAAUUCCCCCUUAAUUGAUUUAUGUUCACCAUUGGAUGCUGAAAUAUUCUUUUUCCUUUUUUAACUUUCAUGACAGAUUUGAAAUAUUAUGCUGCCAUUUUAAUUUUGAUAAAUUUUCAAUCCUUGGCCUAUAUAAAGCCAACCACUUUUCAAUUUUAAGACAACGGACACUCUCUACAUUCUCCAUACUAAGCAUUGCUCUCUAAAAAAACAAGAAAAAGUACUUUAUUAUUUUUUGGAUUCGAACUCACUUUCGGAGAAUCGAUCUUCAUUCUUUCGUGGCAAUUCGUGCUCAGACUUUGUGCUGCCUGAUUUUCCUAUUAUUGUUUGUUAUUGUCAUUUUCUGUCGAUGCAAUUCGUAUACCUUAUCUAAUGAUGCUAGAAAACAUGCCUAUAAGAACUAUUCAGGGUUUUGGUUUGCUAAAAUUUUGUUAUGUCUUUCUUCUUUUUGUGCUUGUUUUGUUAUUUUCUUGUGUCUAACAAGUAUAAACAGAUAGUUUUGGGGAUUCGAAGAGUCGUCCGAAAUUAUGAGGGGCUGCCCAUUUAGUUCAGUUUAUCUUUUCUUUUCAUGUAAAAGUUAUUGUACAAACACUAAUGAUGUAAUAAUAAUUAUUGGGACUGCUUGGGGGUGGGUUUUAUGUGCUUUGUAAAUCAUUUAGGCAAACAUAAUUUAGGAUGAUUAAUCAAUUUAUUUGGACAUCUAGAAAGCAUGUUUUAGGAUUAAUCACUAAUGAAAAUCAACUUCGACUAUGUAAAUUAACUUGUAAAGCGCAUUAAAAAAAUGUAAGUUAGUUUUCAGCAUUUAGUUUUACUUUCAGAAUAUUUUUCGAGGCAAUUAAGUUUAAAUAACAGUCACACAAUUUUUCUGCAUAAUACAAAUCAGUUUAUGGUUAUAUGACUAUUUUCUACAACGACAUAAAUCUGUUUUUAUUUAAAAUGAUAAUUUUCUGUGAUGACAUAGAUAAGUUUCUGGUUAAAAAUCUGUUUGAUAAUUUUCUGCAAAUUUUAAUAAAUCAGUUUCAGCUCUUAAAUAGUUCUCGACGAUACUAUAUAUUUGAUUUCAGUUUUUAAAAUUAGUCCUCAGCACAUUAAACUGUUAUUAUUUAUUUCAACACAUUGAACUGUUUCUAUUUUUUUCAGUAUGACGAAUGAUUUUUUUAAUUUAUAUUCAGUGUAUUUAAUUGAUAAUGCACAUUAACAUGCCUCUACAUAAUUUUACCCACAUGUUUCUUCUGCCUCUCACCAAAUUUUACCAUGUCAAGUAUUCUGAUGUACUUAAUUUUAACAUAUUUUCGGUUAACAUUUUGGCACACAUUGAAUCCUUUAAUAGUAUCCAUUGACUCGUUUAUCACGUAGUAUCAUGUCUAUAGGAAUCAACUAAAUAAUUGCCAACCUACUGACUACUUGUUUGAUAUUUUCUAGUAUCAUGCCUAUAGGUUCUGAAAUGAGUAAUUAUUUGUCUUAGCAUGCUAAAUUACCGUAACUAUCUUUUAAUUAAUUAAGAGGCUUAAUUGAGACUCUUAUGUGCUACAUGUUUGUCCAACUUGUUUGUCGCGCUUUGAGUCUAAUUAGGAAGCCUAGUUUCUUUAUCUAGACCCCUAAUUCAAAAAUAGAAAAAUCCAAUGCCUCUGGAAUGUUAAGAUGAGACGGGUAGGCAUAUUAGGAAUGCUAAUUUUAUCCUUUCUUUUCUAGAAUGCUCUUAGUCUUAACAACCAACCUAGGUGGGGUGGGUAGACAUUCGGAGAUAAUGGUAACCCAACAUGUUUUGACAGUGUGACAUACGGUAUUGUCACUCAUUAAUAACUCGACUGUUGGCUAAUGGAUCGGGUAAUGAUAAAUAAUCUGGGUGUUGAUCCGAAUAAAAUAAAACAAACUUAUUGUUCAAUCUUGUGAAUCUAUCUUUUCUCUUUUCUUUACUUUAUAUGUUUAUUUGCUUGGGGUAGUUUAGGUUCUCUAAUUUAAUAUAAAUGUUUUGUUAUAAAUUGUGUCCCUUCUGUCUCCUUACUUGUCUAGUUUAUAUAUUUAUUUUAUCACUUAGAUAAUUAGUAUUUUAAAUAAUAGAUUACAUGUUUUGUUUAUUCAUUACUUUAUCACUUAGUUAACAUUAAGUUAAAAAAAUAAGUGACCUUUGUGUAUUACAUAGAAUCCCCACACAAUACAUGAAUUCGGCUGAAAACUACAUUUGUGGACCUCGAAAUGUGCGUAACACGUUUCUUUCGAGGUAAUUUUGAACUCUUACCCAACUUGUGGUGACGUACACAAAUUAAAUAGUUCUUAAUUAGCUUAGAAUGGUGCCCUAACACACCUUAAUUCGUUAGGUGUCGACUCUUCACUCUUUAAACAAUUCCAACAAGAGUUGUCAUGUUGAACGUGAGAAAGAUGAAGCGCGAUAGAAUGGCGACUCUGCUAGGGAUACUUAGGUUCUUAUCAUUACGAAUUUGUGCUUUAUGUGGGACUCUCUAUUUGUCUAAAUUUUAUGUUUGUGUGAUAUUAUUUGUUUUUAGCAUUAUGGUUUAUGUUUCUAUAUGUCAACCUUUUCCCCUUUCCCUUUAUAUAUUUUUAUGUUUCUUUAUGUUUAUUUCCUUUCUCUUUAUUCCUUGAUAUUUGGCUAUAUGUUGUGUUUUUUUUUAUGUUGUCAUUCCACUCUUUCUCCAAUUGGAAUCUAUUUUAUUUUUUACGAAUGAUUGCGUGGGUACAAGACGUUCUUUCCUAAAAUGCCCUUCGAGAAAUGUCUUAUGAAUCGAUCAAUCAGCGGUGCGUUGACAGUCACAAGCUUUUCCACUCUCAAGUUAUCCGCUUAAGGUGACUGUGUCAUGCAACCACUCUUAUUCCUAGAGUUAACCAUUUAUCCCAUUCCUAAGGAAUAAAUAUUUCAAAAGCCUAGGAUGUUAUGUUAGAAAGACUGGUCUUUAAGUUUUAAGGGAUUUCAUAAUCCCGAAAAGAACACCUUAUUACUUAUGUGCAUUUUUAGAGUUAAAUAUGCCUGAAUGAUGUCAUUUGCGCUUUGGGGAUGGGGUAGGCUAAUACUUUGUUUUGCUGGUUUAAUGGUGCCCCAACUUUAUGAAUUUGACAAAUCGAGUAAAGACUAUUUUAUGUUUCUUAUGAUUUCCUUAAAAAUGUUCUCUCUUUCAAUUUAUGAGACAAUUUAGUUUAAUAUUUUUUUAAUAUUGUGAAAUUUAUUUAUGAGAAAAUUACAUUAUUUUAUGGCAUAAUUAUCUCUCAAACAAUGCUAGGCCUACCUCUGGAUAAAAAAAGACUCCUAAAAUAGGAAACGCCAAACAACGUGCUUACUAUAUGCUAAUUUGUUUACCUCCUUAUACCGCUAACACACUAAUUUCUUAAUCUUUGUUAUUUUUAUCUUCGUUUUCCCCUUCCCAAAAGGUUGUUUUGUGCACUAUGGCCUACCACACUCGAUUGAAAUGGGCUCUUUCUUCUCCUCCUCCUCUACCUACAAGUCUCAAGGGUAAAGAAGUGAUGGAGAUCGGCAUAAUGUUGUGGACAAAGAUAUACUAGUUUCGAGGGAGAAAGUGUCACUGGGCAGAAUGAAAUAAUGUUGAAAAUGGAAC
rnacentral:lncRNA from 1 species